AUAUCAUUUGGGGGGAGCCGCGCCCGCCCCCGCAGGUGUGGUUCGGGGUUCGGCGUUUUACCCGGUUUUACCCCGUUUUUACCCGGUUUUACCCCGGUUUUACCCGGUUUUUACCCGUUUCCCUCUUUUUUAUUAAGGAAACGGGGAGCCCGGUUGCCACCGACCCCUGCUUCACCCCGGGGCUUCACUAUACUUUUAUAUGUAGUGUUAUAGAUUAAAAAUAGCUUUAUAGAUUAGAAUAAUACUAGUAUAACCAAAAAUAAAGCAAAAACCGGGUGAAAUAAUUUAAAAUAUUUACGAAAAGGUAAUAAUUCGCACCCAGCUUCUGCUGUUUUUUCCUCUCCCCCCUCCCAUGCUGGUGACUUGCUUUGUACAGGAAAUUUGAAUAUCCUGGCAAAGGCGACGUCCAAGUGCAGCUUUGGGAGGUUUUUCCCUUUCUUAAUGUAUCCUAAAUACAACUUUUUGCCCCCAUAUCUGCAUCAGGUACAUAAAGACAAUUUUUUUCUUGCGUCCAGAGUGGGUUUUCCAAGGUUAAAACUGGAAUUUCUCCCUCCAACAAUAAAACCCAGAGAUAAGUUGUGCCCGUGCGCUACAGGCGGGUGUAGGUGAGGGUCCUUCUGCCAAGUUUCAUCAUCUUCUGCGCUGAAGAAACCCAAAGAAGUCGCCAUCAGCUGCAAAAGUCUGUGCUGAGUUAUCCCCCUUUGGUGGGAAACACUAAAACGGAGCUGCUAAUGCAAUAAGCACUGACGAAAUGUAAGAGGGGAGUUUGCUGCAGGCAAAGUGACCCGAGUAUAUUUCAUAAAAGAAAUGUAAUUACUGUGUGCUUGUUAUGGUUUGAAUUAUUGUUCGUCUGACCAAAAAAAUAUUACUAUUUUCUUUUCCUUCCCCCCCCUCUUCUUAACAAAUCAACUUUAGAGGAAUCAGGCUUCCAGAUCUGUCCCUUGUUUAAAAGUGGAUGAGAUGACAAUGCAAAAAGACAACUGGAAGUAACAAGAAGCAUCCUACUUUUCCUCUCCUCAGCAGUGGUGAGAAAAAACUGUGGAUCCCGGAGUUUUUCUGUGGAUUUUACUGGUUUUCCAGGAGUACUUUCCCGUUGAGACAGUGAUUGCCUUGUGACCAGAGAGAGUCAGUGCAGGAGGAGCCGAUGUGCCAGCAUCCAAAGGUGAGUUGGGAAGGUAAGUUCGCAUGUCCAACCUGCUCUGAAAUGCAGGAGCAUCCCUCUGGAUAAAUAAAUACAGGUUCCUCUGAAACAUUCCUGGGGCACUGCCGUUAACACCUUGGAGAGGUCGAGAUGAACUCAGACCAUUCUGUUCAGCCGCCGUCUUUCCGAUUUCACAUUGAGAAUCCAAAGGGGUUUAACUUCUUUAAAUUUGAAAGAAGCUGAAGUGUCAGAUGGGAUGAUUCAAACACAGCUUUCUAGUGCUGAAAAUAAUUAUGCUGUCAUGUCAUAAGCACACAUACUUUCUCAGAUACGUGUUUCACUGCCCGUCCCAAAUUUCCACUUGCCCAAUACUUGGUCUGAACGUUGAUUUUUCCCUUUGUGCUAGAGAAUAGGCUGGUGGAGGUGUAUUGAGCCCUCAUUUUGCAAAGUCCUGCUUGCUGAAGAGAGCUCUUGCCCCCUUCUCAAACUAGGCUAAAGACUGUUUUUUUUAUAUAUAUGUAUAAAACCAUUAAUUAAAGCAUGAACCUCAAACACAGAAGGGAUUCUAGAGCUGAGCUUUUUUACUGUUGCUUUCUUUUUGAGUCACUUGAAGAGAUGAAAGAAAUAACUACACAGGUACAGUGAAGUAAAAUGUUACAGAAAUAUUAAUGGUAAUUACAAGGGGGGUUGUUUUGUUUCAGGUUUUAGCUUUAGGUUUAACUUUCUCCGGGUACUUGUUGGCUUUGUAGUUGCUCGCUGGGGAGUUGGACCUGGUGCUAUCAGUAUUGAGGAUGCUGAAGUGGUAAAAAAAUACUGCUGGGUUUGGUUUUUGUUGGUUUUUUUUUGUAGGCAAAUAUUUGAUUUAAAAUCUGCAAUGAUUUGGCACGGGUCAGGAGAGCUUUUGGAAUUCCUGUUUUUAAGUUUGCUGAAGAGGCAGGGACCGGGAGGAGAACAAACCAGCAGCGUGUUCAGCGCGAGGGGACGGCACCAGCGUUUGAACCGGUGGCGUCAUCUCUGACAUUGUUCAGGGCUUUUUGUGAUGCUGCUUCUUAAGAAAAUGAAUUGAAGGAAGUUGUCACAUCACUGGAAUAAGGAAAAAAAAGUGGAAAGGAAACACAGGAGAUGUCAGGCUGUCUGCAUGGCUCCUGCACAGCCUCGCAGGCUGGUGUGCAAGUGCCUCUGGCAGCCUCUGUUCUGCCCCACACUGGAGUUCACUGGUACAGGCGGAGGAGGUGAUGGAGUUCCAGCGUGUCUUUAAUAUCAGUCAUAUAAGGUUUAUUCAUUCAAAUACUAAACGAGCAUAAUCUACUCUUUUUUAAAAAAAUGGGGUUUUAUUUUUUUAUUUCUCAGAAUAAGACUAUUUUAAGGCAAACUGAACAGGUUUGAACUGUUGGAACCUGAAUUUAUUUAUCUGACAUAUUCACGUUGGGACUUCUGGAAAAAUCCUUGAUGUUCAGCAGCCCCUAAGCGGAAAGCACAAGGUAAUGUUUAUCCAUAGAGCAUUUGGAAGGACCAGGAAGGUCUGCAGGCUCUUUACAGGAGCAAAAGCAGCAGAUCUGCUGGAUCUGAAGUGUAGAUUUGCUGGGACCCACAUGUUAAGGGUGCUUUGGGGGUAGGGGUGGGGAACAGUGAAUUUCUGGUUUUGUUUCUGAAACUGUUUGCACUGUGUAACCGCUUGUUCUCUUAUAGUUACAGACUUUCUGAUAGCACCCGUGAAGAAAAACAAAAAGUCCUGUGGUGGUAAUGCAUACACGUUAAAUGUCUUCAUUGUAGAGUGUUCUUCAGUGCCUUAUAUCAUGGUUUCAAAAUACAUACAUAUAUAUAUAAAUUCAAAAUACCAUUUGGAAUGUCAACAUUCAGUGGGCUUUGAGGAGAUGUAGCAGCACAUCAUGGUUUGUAGGGACAAGGAGAUACAGACCAUUCUGGGCUGCCUCAUUACCUCAAGGAUAAGACAAGAAAGUGAGCUUCUGGUUAUCAUAGACGUGGGAGCUAACACAUUCCCAUGUAUCUCUUUAGUUGAGUUGAACAGGUAUGUGUAGACCAGUUCUCUUGGUGCUUGUAUCUGUGCACAUCCUCUGCAGCUCCAAAUAUAUUCCCUAUGAGUUUGUGUGUCCGUGUGUGUCUCAGCGGGGCUGGCCCUGCAGGCAGGAAGGACUCAAGGCUCCUUUUUGUCCUCCAAUUAUGGGCACAACCAGUGUUGGCAUGAGCACUGUGCUUUCAGCUGCUGCCUCACCUAUUGCUCUUCAGUCCUUUCCCCAGCAAAGGAUCAGCUAAGGUACUCUGUUGCCCUGUGUUUUGGGGGGGAAAGGUGGGGUUUGGGGGCCGUCGCGAGGCGCUGGGAUGGACAGUUGUCAGCAGUGCUCUAGCAGCACGUAAAUACUGGAGUUUGGGAUUGCCUGUUGCUCUCCAGUAUUGCAUUGCUGCUUUAGUGAGGCUGGAAAUCAGUCCCUGCCGCAGGAGCCGGGCUCUGCUGCUGCACGGGGGCUCUCAUCUCCCACCCCAAUAAACCACUGCGGAGGCAGCAACCAA